rnacentral:lncRNA from 1 species
AGCGGGAAAGUGAUGGGAAAUCAGGUGUUUCCACUUCUUGGGGCCCCUCACUUCCUGUUUCUCAGGAUCAGAUGAGAUGGGAACCAGUCCGGGAGAUGGACGACGAUGACAUGCAUCUGUUUGUGGCAGGUUGGAGCAGAACUGGUGUGCAGGACAUACUUCAUCAAGAGAUGGAGGAAUAGACAGAGAUGAAGGGAAAUUUCCCCGGAGCUCACGCUAGUUCACGGCGCCGCAAGGACUCGGUUCCAGGAUUCAGUUCAAUAGAUAUUUAUCAGACGUCUUCUGCGAGGGUUUGAUAGCUACAUGGAGACUAGCGGCUCCCACGCUGGACAACAGAUACAGAAGAUUUUGAUUGUUGCCGAAGUUCCAUCAGACAGCACUGCUGUAGGAGGACACAGGUGGAGAAACCUGAAAGCAUGGUGUAAAGCAGAAGGUGAAAACAGAGGUACAAACUAACUGCCCUGGGGCUGAGGGAGUGGUUUC